ACAUGCAAGUCGAACGAUGAAGCGGGUGCUUGCACUCGUGGAUCAGUGGCGAACGGGUGAGUAACACGUGAGUAACCUGCCCUCCACUCUGGGAUAAGCGCUGGAAACGGCGUCUAAUACUGGAUACGACCGACCCUCGCAUGGGGUGUUGGUGGAAAGAUUUAUCGGUGGUGGAUGGACUCGCGGCCUAUCAGCUUGUUGGUGGGGUAAUGGCCUACCAAGGCGACGACGGGUAGCCGGCCUGAGAGGGCGACCGGCCACACUGGGACUGAGACACGGCCCAGACUCCUACGGGAGGCAGCAGUGGGGAAUAUUGCACAAUGGGCGAAAGCCUGAUGCAGCGACGCCGCGUGAGGGAUGACGGCCUUCGGGUUGUAAACCUCUUUCAGCAGGGAAGAAGCUUUUGUGACGGUACCUGCAGAAGAAGCACCGGCUAACUACGUGCCAGCAGCCGCGGUAAUACGUAGGGUGCGAGCGUA
rnacentral:rRNA from 1 species